CCCUCCCUCUGUCAAUAAAGCCUUACCAUGGGCCUAUCCCAUACAAAUCUCCACAAUGCCUGUGGCAGUGUCAUUGCGUCUUUGGACGCCAGCUCUGGUGCUGGCGGAGGGAGAAAGAAUUGUGAGAGGGCAUCAGAACAUCUCACGAUGCUUUCCUUGAUGCCAAAGGAAAUCCAGCGUCUCGCUUGGCUCGGCUGUCUGAGCUUUUCUGCUGAAGGGGAAGACCAAAAAUGAAGUCAGCUUCAAAUUGGUGUGGCAGCUCAGAGCUCUCAGAGGAUACCAGGGAUCGUUGGAGGCCCUUUCCAAGUGGAAGAUUGCGUCCUAUAAAGAAUCACAGAAUCACUGAAUCAUACAAUGGCGUGCGUUGAAAAGGACCACAGUGACCAUCAAGUUUCACCUCCCACCCCCCUCCCCGCUAUGUGCAGUAUUGCCAGCCACUAGACCAAAAUGCCCCGUGCCACAUCCAGCCUGGCCUUGAAUGCCUCCAGGGAUGCGGCAUCCACAACCUCCUUGGGCAACCUGUUCCAGUGCCUCACCAGCCUCUCGGGGAAAAAAAUUCCUCCUCAGAUCCAACCUAAACCUCCCCUGUCUCCCUUGAAGACCACUCCUGCAUCUCCUAUUACAACCCACCCUCGGAAAGAGCCAUUCCCCCUCCUGCUUAGAUGCUCCCUUUAAGGAGCCUUCUCUUCUCCAAGCUAAACGAUCCCAGUUCCCUUCACCUUUCCUCAUACGAGAGGUGCUCCAGCCCUCUGACCAUCUUAGUGGCCCUCCUCUGGACCCACUCCAAAAACUCCCCGUCUUGAGGAGAAGAGAGAAUAAAGGUAAGGCAGACGCUGAGAAGGACAAGAGCAAAAGCAGAGAAGAACAGGCACAGGUAAGAAAGAAGAGCAGAAGAGGAGGAGAAGAAAAAAUGAGGAUGAAGGUAAGAAAAACAAGCGGGCAGGGAGAAGAGCUGAAGAAGGGAUGAGUGGGUGCAGGUAAGACCAAACAGCAGAAGUGGAGAGGAGCUGAAGAGGAGAAGUAUGAAAAGUAGAGCAAAAGUACAGGAGGUGGAAAGAGAGGAAAGAGGCAAGAGAGAAGAGAGGAAGAGCAGAGAAAGAACAGAGCAGUAGAGAAGAGCGGACAGUGCUGUGAAAAGAAGAACAGUGCCAGAGAACAGG
ensembl:lncRNA